rnacentral:rRNA from 1 species
UACGUAGGGUGCGAGCGUUGUCCGGAAUUAUUGGGCGUAAAGGGCUCGUAGGCGGUUUGUCGCGUCGGGAGUGAAAACCCAGGGCUUAACCCUGGGCUGGCUUUCGAUACGGGCAGACUAGAGGUAUGCAGGGGAGAACGGAAUUCCUGGUGUAGCGGUGAAAUGCGCAGAUAUCAGGAGGAACACCAAUGGCGAAGGCAGCUCGCUGGGACGGUACUGACGCUGAGACGCGAAAGCGUGGGGAGCAAACAGG